ACAUGCCUACAUCAUAGCGUUAAUGCAUUGGAUCUCAUUAGAAAUCCACAAUUAAGCGCACUCAUGCUAGAGUAGUACUAGGAUGGGUGACCACUUAGGAAGUCCUAGUAUUUUACAAGCC
rnacentral:rRNA from 1 species